AUAUCAUUUAUGAAUCUAUCAUAUUUAUUUUUGUAUUCAAAUGUAAAAGAAAUUCCUAAUACUAGGGUAAGAAUUCAAUUUCUUUUGCCUGAUCCGUUCCUGUCUUCUUUUAUGCCAGGUUGAUUCUGAAGUACUAGUAUUUUCUCAGAUCAUGUUAUGUGUUUCAAGAUAAUGCAUUACAGAACUAAUGGAGGAUGAGAAACAUUCUUGUUGCUAUUCACCUCUAUAUCAACUUUUACUUGUAUCAAACCAUGACCAAGAACAUGAAGGAAUAAUUCUCUGUUAAGCAGCAUGGCAUGGGAUAAAAGUGAAGAGAGGGUGUCUCGAGAUUCAGGUCGUGAAUGGCAGCAAAACAUGUGAAAUUAGGCUCGUGAAACUGAAAAAUGGAGGAGGUGGCUGUCUGUAAGUAACAAAUAUUCAACUCAUGCAAGCGAAUGUGAAACUCUAGUUGCUUAGAAUCCAAGGUCUAGACUUUAUUGAUACAGCAUGCAUGCUCUUCACAUUCAUUACUCACUAACAGACAAACAUCUUGAGUUUAGUUAAUUGGUAAUUACAUGGUAUCUUCAUGUAAUUUUUUUUAUAUUUGAUAA